UAAAGUUUGAUCCUGGCUCAGGACAAACGCUGGCGGCGUGCUUAACACAUGCAAGUCGAACGGUCUCCCUUUGGGGAGAUAGUGGCGGACGGGUGAGUAACACGUAGUUGACCUGCCCUAUAGUGGGGAAUAACUCCUCGAAAGAGGUGCUAAUACCGCAUACGCUCAUCUUCGUGGGGAGAUGAGCAAAGCUUUCUUUUCGGAGGGAGCGCUAUUGGAGGGGACUGCGGCGGAUUAGCUAGUAGGUGGGGUAACGGCUCACCUAGGCGACGAUCCGUAGCUGGUCUGAGAGGACGACCAGCCACACUGGGACUGAGACACGGCCCAGACUCCUACGGGAGGCAGCAGUGAGGAAUAUUCCCCAAUGGGCGAAAGCCUGAUGCAGCGACGCCGCGUGGGGGAUGAAGCUUUUCGGAGUGUAAACCCCUUUCGACCGGGACGAAUGCCCGCAAGGGAGUGACGGUACCGGUAUAAGAAGCCCCGGCUAACUACGUGCCAGCAGCCGCGGUAAGACGUAGGGGGCCAGCGUUGUUCGGAAUUACUGGGGUGUAAGGGUUCGUAGGCGGUGUGGCAAGUCGGGAGUGAAAUCUCUGGGCUCAACUCAGAGGCUGCUUCCGAAACUGCUGUGCUUGAGUGUGAAAGAAGCUCGUGGAAUUGCAAGUGUAACGGUGAAAUGCGUAGAUAUCUGCAGGAACACCCGUGGCGAAAGCGGCGAGCUGGAUCACUACUGACGCUGAGGAACCAAAGCUAGGGGACCAAACGGGAUUAAAUACCCUGGUAGUCUAGCCCUAACGAUAAGGACUGGGGGGCCCCCCGUUCGGGGGUCGUCCCGAGCUAACGCCUUAAUCCU
rnacentral:rRNA from 1 species